CGGAGCGGUGCGGGACGCGGAGCCCAACGCGUUGCGGGGCUGCGGGGGGGCGGUGAGCUGCGGGGCCCCCCCCGGAAACAGCACAGCUCGGUGGGAACCACGUGGCAGCGCCCCCCCGCCCACACGGAGGCACUUUUUGGGGCCACGUCUUCCAGGUGGUGUCUCAGCUGCUGGGGGUCCUCUACAACCUACAUGCGGCCGCGCUGCCCCCCCGGCAGCACCAGUGACCCCCCCGAGGCCCCCCCACCCCCUAUUUAUUUAUUUAUUGUGCCAUUGAGAGGGGGUGGGGGGGGGGGGGGAGGUUGGGGGCUGAAUCUUAAGCACUGCCCCAUUGCAUCCUGUACAUGUGUAUGAUGGAAUGUACAUCUUGGGGGGGGCUCUGUAUAUCUGGGGGGGGAAGGGG
ensembl:lncRNA